UACGUAGGUGGCAAGCGUUGUCCGGAAUUAUUGGGCGUAAAGCGAGCGUAGGCGGUUGCUUAAGUCUGAUGUGAAAGCGCAAGGCUCAACCGUGGAGGGUCGUUGGAAACUGGGGAACUUGAGUGCAGAAGAGGAGAGUGGAAUUCCACGUUUAGCGGUGAAAUGCGUAGAGAUGUGGAGGAACACCAGUGGCGAAGGCGACUCUCUGGUCUGUAACUGACGCUGAGGUGCGAAAGCGUGGGGAGCGAACAGG
rnacentral:misc_RNA from 1 species